GGUUAAGCGACUAAGCGUACACGGUGGAUGCCCUGGCAGUCAGAGGCGAUGAAGGACGUGCUAAUCUGCGAAAAGCGUCGGUAAGGUGAUAUGAACCGUUAUAACCGGCGAUGUCCGAAUGGGGAAACCCAGUGCAAUUCGUUGCACUAUCGUUAACUGAAUACAUAGGUUAACGAGGCGAACCGGGGGAACUGAAACAUCUAAGUACCCCGAGGAAAAGAAAUCAACCGAGAUUCCCCCAGUAGCGGCGAGCGAACGGGGAGCAGCCCAGAGUCUGAAUCAGCUUGUGUGUUAGUGGAACGGUCUGGAAAGUCCGACGGUACAGGGUGAUAGUCCCGUACACCAAAAUGCACAGGUUGUGAACUCGAAGAGUAGGGCGGGACACGUGGUAUCCUGUCUGAAUAUGGGGGGACCAUCCUCCAAGGCUAAAUACUCCUGACUGACCGAUAGUGAACCAGUACCGUGAGGGAAAGGCGAAAAAGAACCCCGGCGAGGGGAGUGAAAAAGAACCUGAAACCGUGUACGUACAAGCAGUGGGAGCACCUUCGGGUGUGACUGCGUACCUUUUGUAUAAUGGGUCAGCGACUUAUAUUCUGUAGCAAGGUUAACCGUAUAGGGGAGCCGCAGGGAAACCGAGUCUUAACUGGGCGUUAAGUUGCAGGGUAUAGACCCGAAACCCGGUGAUCUAGCCAUGGGCAGGUUGAAGGUUGGGUAACACUAACUGGAGGACCGAACCGACUAAUGUUGAAAAAUUAGCGGAUGACUUGUGGCUGGGGGUGAAAGGCCAAUCAAACCGGGAGAUAGCUGGUUCUCCCCGAAAGCUAUUUAGGUAGCGCCUCGUGAACUCAUCUUCGGGGGUAGAGCACUGUUUCGGCUAGGGGGUCAUCCCGACUUACCAACCGAUGCAAACUACGAAUACCGAAGAAUGUUAUCACGGGAGACACACGGCGGGUGCUAACGUCCGUCGUGAAGAGGGAAACAACCCAGACCGCCAGCUAAGGUCCCAAAGUCAUGGUUAAGUGGGAAACGAUGUGGGAAGGCACAGACAGCCAGGAUGUUGGCUUAGAAGCAGCCAUCAUUUAAAGAAAGCGUAAUAGCUCACUGGUCGAGUCGGCCUGCGCGGAAGAUGUAACGGGGCUAAACCAUGCACCGAAGCUGCGGCAGCGACACUAUGUGUUGUUGGGUAGGGGAGCGUUCUGUAAGCCUGCGAAGGUGUGCUGUGAGGCAUGCUGGAGGUAUCAGAAGUGCGAAUGCUGACAUAAGUAACGAUAAAGCGGGUGAAAAGCCCGCUCGCCGGAAGACCAAGGGUUCCUGUCCAACGUUAAUCGGGGCAGGGUGAGUCGACCCCUAAGGCGAGGCCGAAAGGCGUAGUCGAUGGGAAACAGGUUAAUAUUCCUGUACUUGGUGUUACUGCGAAGGGGGGACGGAGAAGGCUAUGUUAGCCGGGCGACGGUUGUCCCGGUUUAAGCAUGUAGGCUGAUUGUCCAGGCAAAUCCGGAUAAUCAAGGCUGAGGUGUGAUGACGAGGCACUACGGUGCUGAAGUAACAAAUGCCCUGCUUCCAGGAAAAGCCUCUAAGCAUCAGGUAACAUCAAAUCGUACCCCAAACCGACACAGGUGGUCAGGUAGAGAAUACCAAGGCGCUUGAGAGAACUCGGGUGAAGGAACUAGGCAAAAUGGUGCCGUAACUUCGGGAGAAGGCACGCUGGUGUGUAGGUGAAGUCCCUGCGGAUGGAGCUGAGACCAGUCGAAGAUACCAGCUGGCUGCAACUGUUUAUUAAAAACACAGCACUGUGCAAACACGAAAGUGGACGUAUACGGUGUGACGCCUGCCCGGUGCCGGAAGGUUAAUUGAUGGGGUUAUCCGUAAGGAGAAGCUCUUGAUCGAAGCCCCGGUAAACGGCGGCCGUAACUAUAACGGUCCUAAGGUAGCGAAAUUCCUUGUCGGGUAAGUUCCGACCUGCACGAAUGGCGUAAUGAUGGCCAGGCUGUCUCCACCCGAGACUCAGUGAAAUUGAACUCGCUGUGAAGAUGCAGUGUACCCGCGGCAAGACGGAAAGACCCCGUGAACCUUUACUAUAGCUUGACACUGAACAUUGAGCCUUGAUGUGUAGGAUAGGUGGGAGGCUUUGAAGCGUGGACGCCAGUCUGCGUGGAGCCAACCUUGAAAUACCACCCUUUAAUGUUUGAUGUUCUAACGUUGGCCCCUGACCGGGGUUGCGGACAGUGUCUGGUGGGUAGUUUGACUGGGGCGGUCUCCUCCCAAAGCGUAACGGAGGAGCACGAAGGUUAGCUAAUCCUGGUCGGACAUCAGGAGGUUAGUGCAAUGGCAUAAGCUAGCUUGACUGCGAGCGUGACGGCGCGAGCAGGUGCGAAAGCAGGUCAUAGUGAUCCGGUGGUUCUGAAUGGAAGGGCCAUCGCUCAACGGAUAAAAGGUACUCCGGGGAUAACAGGCUGAUACCGCCCAAGAGUUCAUAUCGACGGCGGUGUUUGGCACCUCGAUGUCGGCUCAUCACAUCCUGGGGCUGAAGUAGGUCCCAAGGGUAUGGCUGUUCGCCAUUUAAAGUGGUACGCGAGCUGGGUUUAGAACGUCGUGAGACAGUUCGGUCCCUAUCUGCCGUGGGCGCUGGAGAAUUGAGGGGGGCUGCUCCUAGUACGAGAGGACCGGAGUGGACGCAUCACUGGUGUUCGGGUUGUCAUGCCAAUGGCACUGCCCGGUAGCUAAAUGCGGAAGAGAUAAGUGCUGAAAGCAUCUAAGCACGAAACUUGCCCCGAGAUGAGUUCUCCCUGAGACUUUAAGUCUCCUGAAGGAACGUUAAAGACGAUGACGUUGAUAGGCCGGGUGUGUAAGCGCAGCGAUGCGUUGAGCUAACCGGUACUAAUGAACCGUGAGGCUUAACCUU
rnacentral:rRNA from 1 species